UAUGGCCAUACCAUCCUGAACAUGCCAGGUCUCAUUUGAUCUCAGAACUAAGAAGGGUUGGGCCUGUUUAAUACUUAGAUGGGGAUAUAUAAC
ensembl:rRNA predicted gene, 25712